UCAGUCUGUAUGACCUUGACAAUGAUGGACAAAUCACAAAAGCGGAAAUGGAAGAGAUAGUGGAUGCCAUUUACAACAUGGUGGGCAACCUUAUGGAGCUUCCCAAAGAUGAAGACACGCCCCAUAAGCGGGUGGACAAAAUAUUUCAACAAAUGGACCUUAAUCACGAUGACAGACUUACAAGGGAAGAAUUUCGAGAAGGUUCUAAGUGUGACCCCUGGAUUGUGCAAGCACUGACCAUGGAGCUCCCAAGCAACUUACACUGACCAGCAUUUAAUGUAUCAUAUUUGUCCAUGCUAAAUUUAAGUUCUUUUUUUUUUUUUUGGUUUUGCAUUAAAAUCACGUGUCCUUAC
rnacentral:sRNA from 1 species